GCCGGGGUAGCUCAGCUGGUUAGAGCGUCGGAAUCAUAAUCCGUAGGUCGGGGGUUCAAGUCCCUCUCCCGGUA
rnacentral:tRNA from 3 species